rnacentral:rRNA from 1 species
AUACGGAGGGUGCAAGCGUUAUUCGGAAUCACUGGGCGUAAAGGACGCGUAGGCGGGUUGGCAAGUCAGAUGUGAAAUCCUACAGCUUAACUGUAGAACUGCAUUUGAAACUGCUAACCUAGAGUAUGGGAGGGGGAGAUGGAAUUAGUGGUGUAGGGGUAAAAUCCGUAGACAUCACUAGGAAUACCGAAAGCGAAGGCGAUCUCCUGGAACAUAACUGACGCUAAGGCGUGAAAGCGUGGGGAGCAAACAGGAUUAGAAACCCUAGUAGUCC